GAUGAACGCUGGCGGCGUGCCUAAUACAUGCAAGUCGAGCGAACGGACGAGAAGCUUGCUUCUCUGAUGUUAGCGGCGGACGUGUGAUUAACACGUGGAUAACCUACCUAUAAGACUGGGAUAACUUCGGGAAACCGGAUCUAAUACCGGAUAAUAUUUUGAACCGCAUGGUUCAAAAGUGAAAGACGGUCUUGCUUUCACUUAUAGAUGUAUCCGCGCUGCAUUAGCUAGUUGUUAAGGUAACGGCUUACCAAGGCAACGAUGCAUAGCCGACCUGAGAGGGUGAUCGGCAACAGGGGAACGGAGAAACGGACAAGAAUCCUACGGGAGGAAGCAGUAGGGAAUAGUACGAAAUGGGAGAAAGCAUGACGGAGAAACGCCGAGUGAGUGAUGAAGGUCUUAGGAUCGUAAAAAUCUGUUAUGAGGGAAGAAAAUAUGUGUAAGUAAAUGUGCACAUAGUGACGGUAACUAAUCAGAAAGCAACGGCUAACUACGUG
rnacentral:rRNA from 1 species